AACGAACGCUGGCGGCAGGCUUAACACAUGCAAGUCGAGCGCCCCGCAAGGGGAGCGGCAGACGGGUGAGUAACGCGUGGGAAUCUACCCAUCUCUACGGAAUAACGCAUGGAAACGUGUGCUAAUCCCGUAUACGUCCUUCGGGCGAAAGAUGUAUCGGAGAUGGAUGAGCCCGCGGUGGAUGAGCUAGUUGGUGGGGUAAAGGCCUACCAAGGCGACGAUCCAUAGCUGGUCUGAGAGGAUGAUCAGCCACACUGGGACUGAGACACGGCCCAGACUCCUACGGGAGGCAGCAGUGGGGAAUAUUGGACAAUGGGCGCAAGCCUGAUCCAGCCAUGCCGCGUGAGUGAUGAAGGCCCUAGGGUUGUAAAGCGCUUUCACCGGUGAAGAUAAUGACGGUAACCGGAGAAGAAGCCCCGGCUAACUUCGUGCCAGCCGCCGCGGUAAUAC
rnacentral:rRNA from 1 species